UUAUUCAUAUUAAAUCAAUAAACAAAGGCCACGCCAAGAAAUAGCACAAACCAUGUGUGAAUAAAACCUUACCGGUUCAUGUUGUCUCGUGGUUUCUGGUUAAUUGAUGUUUUAAAGAUUAAGGAUUCACUGAAAUUGAAAACCAGAAUUACAUCAGAAAUAAUUCAAAGUAGGAAGCAAAAUGACCUUUCUUGCUUUUUAAUGAAUUUAAUUUGCUUUAAAUAUCGAAAUUGUUUAGCUUAUUUUCCCUGUUUCGUCUGGUUCAAAUAAGAUGUACCCUGAAAAGGUGUCAGUUUUACCGAUUGACGUGGACAAUUGUUGGACAAUUUGACGUCAAAUUCAUUGUAAACAUGAUGAGGAUAAGCCAUAGAUGGCGGCUGAUUCAACCGGUGAUUCAAAAAUGGUGAGAUUCGGUUAAAGGUCCCGCCCUGUGAUGUUGAUUCAUAAAUAGUGAGACAUGUGACGUAAAAUCACGCCAUAUGACGUAAUAGAAAUGGUCCGAUCUCGAUGAAUUGAUUGAAUAAUCGUUCACUUUCCAAUUGAUCGAUUAUCGAAGUAAAUUCAUCAAAACAAUUUUCUAUUUUUUGGCAAACACUCAAUUACUUUUAGAUAUUAUUAAUUGAUUGUUGAUGUCUGAAGUCAAUUUAAUUUACAUUUUCAUCUUUCAUUUGAAAUUAUCUUUAAAUGAUUUUAAAAUGUCUAUAGCCAACGCCAUCUAAUGAGUGUUUAUUGCUCCUAUUAGGUUGGGUCAGGUUAAGGAUCAAAUUAUAAGCUUGAUUUUGGUUUACUUUUGAUGAAAUUAUUUUGUUAUUUUAUUAUUUUGUUUAUUGUAAGCUUUUAAUCAUUCAUUAUUAUUAUAUUUGUUGUUGCUGAAUAUCAUUAUAGAAGCCAUCAUUCGGUGUUUUUUCAAAGAUGAUAAAUUGAUUUUAAUGCGAAAUGUGAUUUCUCAGAGGAUUUUUACCAGCCUUGUGAUCUUAGCUGGUGAUUUGUCUGAAAACAUGAAAAUUGUUUGAAUAAUUGAAGAGAUUUUGACUGACGUUUAAUGAUUGAAUAACAACAAAAAUGGAAACGUUUUUUUCUUACUUUCAAUUGUACUUUGAAAAAUACUUUGAAAAAUGCUUUCAAAACUAAACAACAAUUAGACAACCUUGAAUGAUUUAAUGAAGGGUAGGCUUGAACGUCAUUUGAACAUCAAUAUGGUUAAAACAACAUUAAGUUAUUAACAUGAAAACGCUUAAAGUGUAGACAACUUAUAUUAAAAACAUUAUUUUUGCUUGGGAUUUUUAUCUCAUUUAAAACAGUUUUAAUCAAGUUAUCAAUGACAAAUCUUGUUUGCUAUUACAAUCAACGAGUUAGGAAGUUUCUUCAUUCUUUCAUUACAACGAAGAUGUCAUUUACUUUUCACUUUUCCUCAUUUUAUUAUUGACUAUCAUUUGCAUUGAAAUAACAUCUUUAUAAAUACGAUUAUUAUGGCAAUUAAUUUAAUUGAAUAACAUUUUAGAGUUUCGAGUUUACUCUUGUUUACCAGAUAAUAGAUGGCACUGAUUGCAUCUCAUACAAUAACGCCAUCUUGUUGGGUCCUGAAUAAGUACACAAUAAAUCAAAUAAAUAGUCAACAGUAAAUGUCAAUUAAAAGCUAUUUUUGUAACAUUUAGGUCGAUAAUCUGAUCUGUGUUGAUUCCUGUCACUUGCAUGCAAAUUAUUUGGUUUAUCAUUCUCCACUCUUCAAGUUAUCAAUGAAACAGAUUGGGAAAUGAUCAAGUGAUAUAAAUUAAACUCAUUUCUUCCAAAAUUAAGUUCAUUCACUUUUAUUCAGCUUUAUUGAAAUUGAUUUAUCUUUUCUUGUGUUGUUUUUAUAUUGUUUAGAGUCUAAAUGUUAUCUUUUCAUCAAGCAAUUUAAAUGAAUCUACAAAUUGAAUGAAAAACCUCGACUUGUGCAUAACACGUUGCCUUCAUGUCUUCAUCCAUAUCUAGUGAAACAUGGCAUUUACGAAACCAGUUUGGAUUUCAGCUGAACCCAUGAAGACUUUUUCAUCGGAUAUGAUUCUUGCGACUGAUUCGUUUUUAAUUUACAUAUCUACAGUCGGGAAAUCAGGUUAAUAUAAUCGCAUUUUUGGGUUGAAAUAAAGACAGCAAUCGGACGUAA